UACGGAGGGUGCGAGCGUUGUUCGGAAUCACUGGGCGUAAAGGGCGUGUAGGCGGUCUGCUAAGUCUGAUGUGAAAGCCCGGGGCUCACCCCCGGAAGGGCAUUGGAAACUGGCGGACUCGAGUCCCGGAGAGGAGGGUGGAAUUCCUGGUGUAGCGGUGAAAUGCGUAGAUAUCAGGAGGAACACCGGUGGCGAAGGCGGCCCUCUGGACGGUGACUGACGCUGAGGCACGAAAGCGUGGGGAGCAAACAGG
rnacentral:rRNA from 1 species